CCUACGGGAGGCAGCAGUGGGGAAUAUUGGUCAAUGGACGGAAGUCUGAACCAGCCAUGCCGCGUGAAGGAUGACUGCCCUAUGGGUUGUAAACUUCUUUUAUAGAGGAAGAAACCUCUCUACGUGUAGAGAGCUGACGGUACUCUACGAAUAAGGACCGGCUAACUCCGUGCCAGCAGCCGCGGUAAU
rnacentral:rRNA from 1 species